AUUUAAUUUUAUUGCUUCUAAAGUGAAAUUGAUGAAUUAUUUAAUUUAUUGUGAAGGUGAUAUUAUUUUAUAUUAUGAUAUCUACAAAGAAAAUAAAUAAAAGAUGUAACGUGAGAGUUAUUUUGUGGAUUAUUCAUAUUAAACUUUUAGUCUCCUUAUCAGUUAAGGACAAGGAUAAGAGACUAAAACCUAAUUGGAUUAGGAGUUUAAGUGUUAUUGGAAUUCUUUAGAGUUCUGGCCCAUCUAAACAACCUUAAUAUGAGUUUAGUGGGAAUUGAAGUCUUGGGAGGCUUAUUUAAGCUUUUAGUGGGUUUUUUAUUUGAGCCCAAGUGAAAAUAAUUUUAACGUGUUAGUAGGUUAGGGUUUCCUGCUGAAAGAUAGAGAGAGAGAGAGAGAGACGGCAAAGUUACAAGAAACAAAUCCUGCAUCCGUAUGGUCGUGUGGUCAGGUUCUAAUUGAUAUUGUUUCAGACCGUUGAGGUAAAGCUUGGUUUAACAACUAGAGAUUAGAGCAGUGGAAUAUCUUUUGGUGGUAGAUCAUUGGAGACAUAGACUGAAGACUUCUUUUGGAGCUAUGUUAGUUGAGGG